UACGAAGGGGGCUAGCGUUGCUCGGAAUUACUGGGCGUAAAGGGCGCGUAGGCGGCACUGUUAGUCAGGCGUGAAAGUCCUGGGCUCAACCUGGGAACUGCGCUUGAUACGGCAGAGCUAGAGGAUGGAAGAGGGUCGCGGAAUUCCCAGUGUAGAGGUGAAAUUCAUAGAUAUUGGGAAGAACACCGGUGGCGAAGGCGGCGACCUGGUCCAUUACUGACGCUGAGGCGCGACAGCGUGGGGAGCAAACAGG
rnacentral:rRNA from 1 species